GAUUGAACGCUGGCGGAAUGCUUUACACAUGCAAGUCGAGCGGCAGCGCGGGGGCAACCCUGGCGGCGAGCGGCGAACGGGUGAGUAAUACAUCGGAACGUGUCCUUAAGUGGGGGAUAGCUCGGCGAAAGCCGGAUUAAUACCGCAUAAGCUCUGAGGAGGAAAGCGGGGGAUUCGCAAGGACCUCGCGCUGUUGGAGCGGCCGAUGUCGGAUUAGCUAGUUGGUGGGGUAAAGGCCCACCAAGGCGACGAUCCGUAGCUGGUCUGAGAGGAUGAUCAGCCACACUGGAACUGAGACACGGUCCAGACUCCUACGGGAGGCAGCAGUGGGGAAUUUUGGACAAUGGGGGCAACCCUGAUCCAGCCAUUCCGCGUGAGUGAAGAAGGCCU
rnacentral:rRNA from 1 species